GACGAAAAAUUAUUGUUGCUGACACUUUUUCUAUAUAUAUAUAUGAUCACAUCAAUAUACAUGCCCUCUCUACCAUGAGUUUAAAUAAACGGGGGCUUUAUGGGUCUAAUGGGCUUUUUCUUUUUUAAAUUUAAAAAAAGAGUGAGUAAUCAGUACUAAGCCCGGCCUUA